CCCCGCGUGGGCGUGGCGGAGCGAGCGCAGCUCCGUGAGGCGCCCCAGGAGCCGCGCGAAGCGCUGCGGGUCCCCCGGGUGCUGCAGCUUCGAGUGCUUGUACAGGAUCCACAGCAGCGGCUCCUGCAGCUCCUCCACAUGGCGCUUGUCCCUCAGGAGCGGGCGGUCUGCGGGAGAGCGGCGGGGAGAGCGCGUGCAGAAACAGUUGCGGAUCAUCUUUGCCUGAAGCAUGGGAGAUGAUACCCCCCUGGAUCCACCUGGAUUGCUCUGUCCAGUGCUGAGCUCCCCAGGACAAGGGACAUGGAGCUCCUGGAGCAGGUCCAGCAGAGAACAUGAAGGUGAUGAGGAGGCUGGAGCAUCUCUCAUUUAUUUUCAUGAGAUGACUCGAGUCUUGCAGCACAGGAGCCAUCACCUGUAAGGAACUACACACUAGAGGAUAUGGCAAUGUGUGGUCACCUCUGAGUCCUCUUAGCUUAGGGAGAUACUUCCCAAGCAUUGCUUAUUUCUGCACAUGAAGAUGCUACAGGUGCUGCAGACUCCAAAGGUAAUUUUCCUACAGCCUAAUGAAGCUUAGACUGAUAUCAUUUAGCUCCAAUGCGAAGGGAUUUCCUGUGGAAAAGGCUUUAUCCAGGUUGAUUAGUGAAGUAAGCAGCAUGGAAGGAGCACUUACAUUCUGCCAGCAUCCCCACAGCUUUGCACUUCUUCAGGCGACACUCCUGGCACUUCCUCCUCAUGUACAUGUCCAUCUCACAGUGCCCCCCGUUCUUGCACCGGUACACCGCGUUCUUGGUUAUGCUGCGGCGGAAGAACCCUGCACACAAGGGUCAGGUCAUGGCUCCAGCAGCCUGAGGAGCUUCACCUCACAGUAAUUUAAGGAAUUAAUAGUGUCUUUCAGGUUUGGUUGUUUGGGGUUUUAAAUGGAAACAUUAACUUGAUUUAAAAUUUACUUUUUAACAACAUAGUUAUGUCUGGUUCUUUCUGACUGAUAUUAAAUGCUGUUUUCUGUACAUGGAGUCAUAGAAUCACAGAAUAUCCUGAGUUGAAAGGAACACACAAAGAGCAAGUCCAACUCCUGUUCCUGCACCCCAAAAAUCUCACCCUGUGCAUGAGAGCGUUGUCCAAACACUCCUUGAGCUCUGGCAGCCUUGGGGCCCUGAGGAGCCUGUUCAGUGCCCGACCACCCUCUGGGGGAAGAACCUUUUCCUGAGAUCCAACCUAAACCUCCCUGACACAGCUCCAGCUGUUCCCUCAGGUCCUGUCACUGCUCACAGAGAGCAGAGAUUGGAGCUGCCCCUCUGCCUCCCCUUCAAUAUAACAAGUUAAAUAUAAUUAGUAAGUCAUUACUACUUGCUUUUAUUUAAUUUUAAUAAUAAGUAAUAACACUCAAGAAAAUCUAUAAUAAAUGGUCAUGUGAAAAUCAGUACCUGCUUAAACAGAGACUAUUCUAUUGAGUCAUCUGUGCAAAAAUGAGAUGCUCGAGGUGCUCAUAUUAAAUACAGACAGAAAGCAUUUCUUCAGAAAAUGCUGUAAAAAUGUGAAUCUGGGAGUGUGUUAGAUAAGGGGCUCCUUAGAUAAAUUAAACCCCUCUGUAGAAACAGCUUCAAACCCAACAAAACCUGUUUGCAUAAAUCACAGGUGUGGAAUGCUGGGGGUCAGGUGCUCACCUUUGCAGCCCUCGCAGGUCAGGGCGUUGUAGUGGUACCCGGAGGCCUUGUCCCCACACACGACACACAGCUCCUCCUGCCCCCUCAGCCUCCCCGGCUGGGGCAGCCUCGGCCUCUUUAACCCCUGGUACCCCCCGUCAUCCACGGGGGGAGCCGCGAACGGGGCUUUGCUCAGCUCGCAGCUGCUGCCCACGCAGGGCCCGUCGCUGUAGGGAGGGUCCAGGCCGUAUGUGCCAUACGGGGACAGAGGGGGCUGGCACUGCAGUGCCGGGGCAGGAACUGGCACUGCUGAGUACUGGCAGUAAGGGGCGCUCUGGAAAUCCGGGUCUGGCAGCUGGUAGUUGAUGUGCUCCGGUAGAACGUCUGAAAACAGGGGAAAUCGAAAGUGAGAUAAAAGCCUGGAAAAUAUCUCGGCAUCAGCUAUUCCAAAGUUUUAAAAAAAUUCAUAGAUUUAAUAUCAUAAAUAUUAGAGGAACACGUUUUCAGACGGGCAGACUGACACACUGUUUUUAAAUGUGCUACCUGUAAUGUUCUUAAGUAAAAUCUUAAGUGUGGUAAAAAUGGCUCAAUGUCAUGUGGAUGCUGCUGGAUUAUUGUUGGCACAUAACUGAAUAUCACUUGCCAACUGAUGAUACAGCUGCUUUUAGGUCUUACAUUUGAGGGUUGUUUGUUGUCCACAUUACAGUCAAGUAUCUUCCGUAAGUGAAUUUUUUAAGGAGUGAAAUUUUACUUCUCGAUACAUAUCUCAGGCAUCAUUUUGAAAAUGUUGCACAAGAGUCUGAGAAAGAUGGUCUAGAAAUUAUAGAGUGGUAAAAAGUACUGUGACAGGAGUCUUAAAGUUGAAGUCAACAGAAUAAAAAGCAGAUCUUGUUUUAUUUAGUAUUUCCCCACAUAUAAGUCUUUAUAGUUAUGAGAUUUCAUUUUAGUAAAAUGUAGGUACAGAAUUGUAAAGAGAGUUUCUUCCUGCCCUUCUGUCUGUUGAGUUUUAAUUUUAUCCAGCCCCCCCUAAAUACACACAACUGUACCAAAGCAAGCCUGUGCAACAUGAAUCAUGUUUCCUUCUUCCUUUGGGAUUGUUCAAAUCUCUGAAAAACCAAACUGGAAACAAUUUUCAAGGCAAUUCAGAGUUCUUUUUCUUUCUAAUGGGCAUCAGGUCCUGCCUUUACUCUUCCAGAAUCCAAUCAGUUAUUGCAAUUAUAGUUACAUAACAUACAGAAUAUGCAUUAUCUAUUUAUAAUUAUCUGGGGUACUGUAAUAAAAGCUGUGUCUGCUCCAUGCAAGUCAAAGGGAGACAGCACCAGGAAUGUUUACAUGGAAUAAUCAGUUGGAAUAAUCACAGUAGUUCAAUAGUUUCAGUGUAGGCUUGGCAGUCAAAUGUGUAGCUUCUAAGAGCUUUAAGGAUAAACUAAAACAGAGAAAAAAAUGGGAAUUGCCACAGAUGUUCAUUUUACUGUAUUUUCAGGAUGUAAAGCUGUUGCUUUGCUCACCAUAGUACUGGAUGGGCUCGGGCAGGCAGUACCCGUCCGGGACGGUGACAAAGGUGUUGGCCAUGCUCUGCUCCCAGCUGCACUGCUUCAUUCCCCCUGCUGGGGGUGGCUUUUAAAUGGCAACCUGGAGAAAUGGGAAAGCAGGAGAAACAUCCCGUGAGAAAGAAUUGCUGGGUAGGUUCAGGCAGGGAGCUAAACCCAGAAAACUCCACAAUAUGGGAGAGUUUGCAGAUUAUAAGAAAAUCAGAGGUACAAAGUCAUGUAAUACCCUCAGUGAGGCUACAAAAUGACUGUCCUCACAGUACAGGUUCAGGAUAGAGUCCAUUCCUAAAUUUCCAAGUUAUAGUAGGACUGUUUUGCUCUGAAUUUUACACAAAACUAUGGUGGGGGAAUCAGAUUAAUCCCUGGUAAAUUCUCUAGUUCUAGGAAGAUUAAAAGGAGUUUCACUGGAUAGAAAAAACUUGCUUUGGGUAUGAGCUGGGGCAUUUGCACUGGUGUGGAUGUGGUGGGUGUCCUGUUUGUGCACAGAGAUGGGCUUUUAGUGAAUUUGUUUCUUUCACUCUUUAUGCAAGUAAAUAUAGGAAAAUAGCAUGGAAAGGCCAGCAUGGAAUCUCUCUUCUCCCCAUGUAAGUAGUUGUUUAUGCAGUAAAAGUCAGCUUUGCCUUGCUUGAGCACUGCCUGAUUUACAUUUAAGAGCCUGUAUUCCUUUAAGAGUGCAAAGCAUCCUGUGAAAACAAAAUAAAUUAAUAUCCUAUAGGAUUUAUUUCCUCGAGAGAGCUUCCCACUGUCCCUUGAACACUAAGGGAGCUUGGGCUCCUGGCUGGAUGCACUGACAUUCACAAUAACAAAGUGUACUGAGAGCUCACAGUGACACACUGAGAACAGCUGCUGUGCUUCAAAACUCACCUUAUUUUUCAGUAAUUUGAAUUAUAAAUUCAAAUUGAGAAAGAAGUUGUGGAAAAGGGUGCUCUAAAAAUUCUUACAAGAGUUUUAGAAAAAAAAAAAGUAAUGUCUCUAUGGCCACUAGCAGGAGCUGGGUUUGGGUUUACAUUCACAGAGCAAACCUCUGGUAUUGCUGAGCUAUUGAGAGGUAAUGGAGCAGCCACUGGAGGAGUAAGUAGGAAAUGUUUUCCUUGCCCCCUUGUCCCUCUGCAUGUGGAAUGUGGUCACUGGUUAAACAAAUGUUAAGUCUGUGCCCAUUGAGUAAGGGCAAUUUGCCCAUCAACCACUCACAGGCUUUGCCUGAGCAGACAGAAAAGGACAGAAAAGAUGAAAAAGGCGUGGAAGUAUUUGGAAAAUACAGCAAAGCAAAAGCCUCCCCUGCAACAGCAUUCUCUGCCUGUGCCUCUUGCAGCAUUUACAGCACUUUGGGUUUCAAGGUCUUCCUGGAAAGACUCACAUGGUGGGGUUUGGGUAAUACCUGUACCUUGCUGUGACUGAGAAAAUGAAUGUAUCAUUGCAGGGAACCUGAAGUCCUGCCUGGAAAGACACACAUCCCUCCCCCCAAACUGGCCAUGUCUUUGGGGCGGAACACUUUCGCUUUGUGUUGUCAGCAGAAGGUGAAAGGAUGCGGUGAGGCUGGAAUGUUGGGGUUUUUUGUUAUCUCUGCUAGUAAAUAUUUGUUUCAGAGCAGAAUGACUCACUGAAUCGUGAGGUCCUUAUCAGUUAGAUCAAUUUGGCCAGGGCAAAGUCUACAUUUUUUCCCAAAAAUGUGUAUUUGCCAAAGAAAUGCGUUUCUGAAUUCCUGUAGUUUCUUUAAAUGAAAUAGAAAAGGAACAAAAGCUAAAAUAAAAUCACACUGAUCCAGUGGGAUAAAAACAGUAUAUUGGGAGUAUGAAGUACAUAUUACCAAAUGUAAAGUGGCCAGUUGAUUAAACAUUCUAAAUCUUGGAAGCAAAUUUUCCUUAGGCAAAGUUUCCUCAAAUCAGGUACUGUGUGAGAAAGGAUUUAGCCCUUCUUAACUGAUUUUUAUGACUAAUAACAGUGAUUGGUUGCAACCACGAAAUUCCCAGCUCAGAAUGAGACUUUGUAAACUGAAAUUAAGAGAAUGUUCUAAUUAAUUGAUUAUUAAUUUUAAAUCCAGUGCUUAUUUGGGAAUGCUAUACUGUCGUGAAACAAGAUUUAUGCAUGACCAUGAAGUGUUUAAUUUCCUGACAUUUGACAGUUUAGGGUUGACAAGCUUGUUCUCCUGAUAUAACAAAGCACUGGGCUUUUUAAAAAAAUAAAACUAGAAAGAACAGAGUAAGAUAUAUAAGGAAGGAACUUCAUUUCCCAGGGCAGGAAAGUUUGGAUUGUUUAUAAGAAUGACUGGGAUCGUUGUGUGUUCCAACCUCUGCUCACCCCGGUAUGUGAGUGAGGCAGCAGCAGGGAAGCCUCCUCCAAACUGAGAUCCAUUAUAUGCUGCUGUCCCCAGAGCUCAGUAGCCACCCCAAAUCCCUCACACCUCCUGGGAGUGAGCCAUGACCUAAGGGGCACUUCCUGAGCCCACCCAGAUGCUCAUUAACCCUUUGCCAGGCUGGCAAGGGAGUUCUGCCUGUGCCCAACGCAUCUGGAGUCCCUGGCAGAACGUACCAGACAUGCCCAGAGGUAAUUUUCAAAACACAAUAACUUGGAUAAAGCUGAAACAAGGUUGGAGUAACAGGUUUGGGUGUUUGGGGCAGUUACAGUUGUGCCAUUCCCAAACCAAAAUGUUUUGUGCCCAUUUUUCCCAUUUCCGUGUAUUCACAAUAUACAGAUGUUUGCAUGUGAGUGCUUCAAAAGGAAGCAAAAAUUUAAGUACAUUCCCAGAGAUGGCACAUAAAGGUCUUUAGCCUAAAAAGUGGAAAUAGCUGAAAACAAAAGAAGAGGAAUUUUUUAAUCCCUUGUUUCGUAGAACCCCAACACAGAUAGGAUGGGACUCUUCAGUCCUCAGUCACACAGACUGGCCUGAAAGAAAAUGUCAUCUGUGGAAAGGCACACAUUGUUCUCUGAUUUUCUCUCUUCUGCUGGGAAUUUUCAUGUGUGAAAUCCUGACCAGGUGGGCAAUGGUGUUUUUUUAGAACAGGUGACCUACACUUGGGGUUGUUUAAGCACGUUUGAAAAUGUUGCACUUUUAUGGGCUUGGUUUUGCCAGUGGUCAAAAAUGUUCAGUAUAACCCAGAAUGUGUGUCAAUUCAAGGGGUUGGUUAUCCAUUUUAUAUAAAAAUUCAGCCAGAUUCAGCUCUUAGUCCCAGCUGAAAAACUUGUCAAUUUAUAAAAGAUGGAAACCAUGAAGGAAAAAAAAGCCAUUGAUUGAUAAAAGCGAAGCAGAACCAUAAAUAGAAUGUACACAUUCAGACUAGAAUCUGUACUGUACAUCUAUUUACUGCUAUUUAUGGUGAAAGAUGUGGUUUUCAUCAUUUUUAUUGCUAUAAAAUCCCGUAUCAUAAAGUAACAUAUCAUCAACUCCUCAAAUUUAUUAAGAUGCAAAACAUCCUUCACGUAGCAGAGGCGCAGGGAGCCCUUGCAGGGCUCUGUACUGACAGUACUUCAGCUGCUUUCGUAAAUAUUUUGACAAUGGAGCCGUGGAGAAAUUUCUUGUUUACCGGGAAUUUUAGGAGCUCGAGCUGAAGGUCUUCACCAACUGUUUGAACACACCUUGGGGCACGUUAAUGGUCACGUAGUGGAACUCGAGAGCACGUUUCGGGCUCGCUGUUAAUCCCUGCACUUUGCUUGCUGCUGGAAGCAAAGCUUAUUUUUUCCAUUAUUUGUGAAAAUUUAAACCAAAAACUGAAAAACUGUUAGCUCAGUACGAUCAGUGGCAACUAUGUGUGAUGCCAGGUGAUAUGUUCCAUUUCACUCAAGCAAUUUAGUAAUCACUUGAUUAAUUAAAGGAGGAUUUCGCAGGGGAAGCUGUAGGAUCACUUGAUUGUCCCUAUGUGCAGAUUAUAUGCAUUAUUAAGGUUUUAUCUCUUCCUCCCAGUUUUAAUGUGCCAAGAAGCUCCCCAAAGCUACCCUUUGAAGAAAUCCCACUCUUCUCCUUAAAUGUGUUCCCUCUUGGUCAUACAAUAAUCAUAAUAAGAAUUGGCUUAUUUCACUAACAGAUUGUGUUGCAAUUAGCUUGAAAUCUUCCUUUGAAAUUGUUACCCUCAUGAAUAAUUAUUUCAAAGGUAUAAUUUUUAUACACUGUAAAAUAAGUGGUUGUUUGAAACUCACAGAUUUCCAGGUGCUUUUGGGAAGGGAAACAAAUAAUUUAAUUUAAAAGUCGUUUUUCUUCCCUCUCUGUCAAAUGAAGUACUGUUGGAACAAACCCUUGGCAGUAGGAUACCAAAUUUAAAAGCUCAUGUUUUCUGUUUUUGUUUAAAAAGAAAGGAAAAAAAAAAAGGGGGAAAGAAGGAAAAAAGCCCAAAGCCCGAAAUCUUUUCACAUGGCAAAUUGAUGUGUGGCUGGAGCAACAAUUCAUAAUCCCAGAGCAUGCAGAGAAGGAAAUUAAAACUCACCGGAGUUCCAGGGAGCUCCUCUCUUCCAGAGGGUCCGUGGGGCUGCAGCGCUGAUCCCAGCUCUGAUCCCAGCCCUGAUCCCAGCCCUGAUCCAGCUGGAGCAAUCCAGGCCUUUCCCUAUUUAUCAGUUUGUGUGCACACACCAGGCUCCAGACACUCCGCAGAGCAAUCCUACGGCUCCGAGACACGAACUUCCCACACAGCCUUGGCUGGGGUCGGAGCGAGGGCAGCUGCGAGCCCACAUAAAUCAAAUAAGAACUGGGUCAUCAGGGACAGAGGCCAUGGGGACCCUCACGUCACUGCUUCCCAGAGCACUCCCUGCCCCACCACCAAAUAUUCUGCUUUCCUGCUAGAAUUUCAAAUUCUCCCUUUUUGGUGGCUGCUCAUCGCCGCGUCGGAGCGUGGAUGGAAAAUGUUCCCUUCCCGGGCAGAGCAAGCACUGCAAUGGUAUUAUUUGGAGAUUCCUGCAUGACAUGAUAAUUUCAUUUGGAAACACUGGAUCAGGGCAGGAUUGCCAAACACCAAACUUGUCCUCCCUGUUCUGAUCCUGACAUCCCUGGCACACACAGGGCUCACCUGUACAUUAAGUUCAUUAACAAUUUCAGUGGAUUUACGUUCAUGUUGCUGCUAAUUUUGCAAAUUUCCAUUCUUAAUCGCCCAAGUAUUUCCAUUAUUAAUAAUUUCUAAUAACUUAAUAUUACUCUUUGAUGUUUUCAUCACUUCCUAGGUAGAAGAUGUGACAUUUUGGAUAGGGAAUCUCCUGCUGUUCCAUGUGCUCCCAACAUGCUGCCCAGCAGGUUGCAAACCUCCUCACUCCCUUCCUUCUGUGUAAGAGCAAUUCUCCAUUUACCUCAGGAAAAACUGGUUCUGUCCUAUACUUCAUGGAAUUAGGUGCUAAAAGGAUAAAAUAAUUUCCUGUUGGAUAUCUUACAGCAAAGUCACUCAGAAUAGUCUUUAGGGACAGUGAGUUUUCAUGGAUACACAGCAAACUGACAUCACCCUUCAAAGGAGAGUCAUGUUUGUACCCAUGGACUCCAGAGAAAAGUAGCAAUAAGGCUACUUAUUUCUAUGUAAAAUGGCACCAUUUAGGAAUCUUGGAGUGGAGUGUUUGAGUCUGGCUUUCAAGAACUAAUGGGAUUGACUGACAGAUGUUAUUUGAGCAUAUUAUGGGGUUUUUUAAGUUUUCAAAUGUCCUGCAUUGGUCAGGUGUGGUGAUGGAGGGCUGGAAUGCAUAGAUGAUACAGUAGGCACAAAGAUAAUGAUCUUGUAAGCUUAAUUAUGAUCAGCAUUUGUCUUUCUGGCAAAAGCAGCCUCAGACACCAGCCUACUAAAUUGUCAAAAAAACCCUCAGUGGUAAAAACAAAGAAUUUACAAUUCAUAGAACUAAGAUUUUUUUUUCCAUAGCAGUAUUUCUUUCACAUAUCCCAUUGGCUUUUUCAUCCAACCUUUCUCAUGGAAGCGGGAAAAACAAGCAGAGGUUUGUGAAAUAUUGCCUUUAGCUUGUAAAUACUACUGACUUGUAUUUUUAGCACUUUUUCUAAUAGAAGCCACCAAGUGAUAAGCUGGUCAAAUGUAGCUGUGGGAUGAGGGUAUUUAGAGCCUGUUGACUCUGGGGAACGUGAAGCCCAGUUUUUUAAAAGCUAUCAAAUCCCCAUUCUGUUCAUUUUAUAAAGCCUAGUGGAUUCAGAUUAAAUUAAAUCUCUAAAAUAAAUACUUAAGAACCUAAAACUUACUUGUAGUAGGAAUAAACAGCAGUGCCACAUUAAGUAUUAGCCCAUGGUUGUUUACUCCAACCCCCACCAUGGUGUUUUCAUAGCUGCAGUAAUGAAACUAUUGUGCAUAGUCAUGCAGUGAUUCAGAACAGGUUAAAUACAUGUACUUAUGUUAAAUACAGAUAUUUACAUUAUUUUAACAAAUCACUGUUCCUGCUCAGAGCUCAGCAUGACAAAAAUGGGAGAUCUGAGGGCACACGUGAGUCCCCUGAAGGACUGCUUCAAAGAAGAGGAAAAGAAACUGUUUUCCACUCUUGUAAAGAAUCAAGAAACAAAAAGGUUGUUUAGGAGUAAGGGAGGUUUAAAUUAGAUACUAGGGAAAGCAAUUACUGUGGUAAAAAUAGCACUGGAGUAAGUUGCUUGUACAAUCUUCUUCACUGGAUAUUUGGAAGAUCAGUUUGGGCAGAACUUGAGGAUUGUUUUUUUGGUCUGUAAGGGAGGAAAACGUUUUUUUAAGCUCCUUUCCAGCUCUGUUUGCUUUUAUUUUCCUAUACAUACAUCAGUUUUACAAAACACUGCUCACUGAUGAAGUCUCUGAUCAGUCCCAUGCCCAGAGCCAUUUCAGUGGGCAAAGUAAAUAAUCACAGACUCCAAGCAUGAUUUACUAGAGGUGAGUAAACAAAGUGCUCCUCAUGGGCACGGCCUGAAAACAUUAGCUGAACAAGGUCGUGCCAUGAGCCCACAUCUAGAAGUGGCACUGAAGUGGAGAGUAAGGGAUGUUUUCCACAGAAAUAAGGCAUGUUUUCCAUGGAAAAGAAGCAGAUGUGGGGACACCAGCCUGCCCUGGACACUGUGUUGCAGCACUUGUGCAGCCUCAGUGCCACCAGUGGACACUGAACCCCCGUGCAGUGUCUGCCUUUGGGCAGCUGGUCUGAGGAUUUGGGGAGGGGGGAAGCUGGAGAUGAAGGAAGAGUUGCCCUGGAUCAAUACCUGUUUCCAAGCUCAGCAGAAUUCCCUGUUCAUCUGAACUGGAGAUUUGAGAUCUCUGUGACUUGCUUGGUAUCCGAAUAGUUAAAGGAAAUCAUAUCUGCUCCAGCUGGUUCUUCUCUGCAUAACUGACCCGUUUGGCUCGAUCUGGAAUUGGAUUGUUUACGUAACUUCAGUAAUUAACCACUAUCAGCCUCAUUAAUGAAACAUAAACCACCUCUCCUGCUCAUUUAUAAAGCAUUUGUCAAACAAAACUCAAACAAAGGGCAGAAUCUCAGCAGAGAGUCCUCCAAAAGCUACUGAGCCCUGACUGCAAGUCAGGACGGUCACUUUGUUGUUGUUUUUCAGUAGAACUGAAACAGAAGUGAUGGCAUCGUCUAUUGCUCUUGGCUAACUUCUCCCCAAACCAUCUGAGGUCUGUCACAUGAGGGCAAGGAUGCCUCGGCAACUAUUUUGGCCAUUUCAGUACAAAAUACUGAUGUUCCAGCUCAUUACUGUAAAUCAUUAAAUGAUGAAAGCAAGAGUCAAAUACUAAACGAUUGGAAGCUCUUGGAAAACUAAUUGCUCAUUACAGUAAUCGUUGUUCUAUGUGAGUUAAAGGUUAUAUUGAAAUAUAGGUUAUUUCGUUACAGGAUUAAAUCUCUCCUGCUAGUAAACUGUUCUAAGCAAUAUUAAAGAAAGCUGAGUAUUAACAAUACAGCUCAUGUAUUAAAGUGAUCUAGCUAAAGCUUUACCUAUUUUUGGUUUAGAGAGAUAAAACAGUUUAGAGGCAUAAAAUACACUGGCAGACAAAUCCUUGCCAAAAAUUUGGUGUUCUGAGAGUUUGCAUUUACUAUUUCUUAAGGAACUCAUGAAAAACCUGCAAGUUUUCUGUUCCUCCUCUCUCCUGGAUUAUUUACUGAUCUUCCAAAGGUGCAGCAGUGCUGGCACUGUUGGGAUUUUCUGCAUGGGCAUGGAUGGACCUCAGUCCUGGGUGAGAAACAGCACAAAGCCUCAGGACUAACAAUUUUGGAUGUUGGUGUGACCUUGCACAGUGAACAGCUCCCAUUCAGCAUUGUAGAGCACGAGUUCAUUCAGGUGACUUAGUGUGAGAUAAUGUAGAUACUCUUCUCUUUUGCAUCAAAUGCAUCAGACAAAUCAUCAGGGUCAGAUUGGAAGGGAAAUAACUCCAGAGAAGAUGGAAGCUCUCGUUAAGUUCUUAAAUGCUUUCAUGGGAGGAAAUGCUGAAACAUCAGACCAGAGAGGAAAACCAAUUCUGAUCUUUUUUAAGACUGAUUUUUUCCUUAAUCAUGAAGUUGUUGGAUAGUUUCACCGUGCCUUUUCUAACAGGCUUGUAAGGCAAAUCUUGAAGAGCUAAACUGUUGAAAUACAUUGAAUUUUAAUGCAAGAGCCAAACUGCUUUGAACUCACCUGAAAAUCUCAAGACAGCCUACAAAAUAUUCCUGUUCCUGAAGGCAGAGGAGGUACAAGAAGCCCAACCAUUCUACACUCACAAUGUGCAUGGGUACCCUGACAACUCCUCCUUUAAGUGUCUUGUGCCAAAUCUGUUUCUCCUUGGCUGGAAGACCAAGAUUUGUCAAUAAAAUGCUCCAGUGCAUUGAUAUUCAUCCAGGCAUGAUGUGGAAAAAGAUAAAGAUCUUAAUUAGGUUUGAUUACAAUCUCCUGCAGGGAUCUCAGAGUUGGUAAUUCAUAGGGAGUACUUGUAACUUUAAGCACUGGAGUGAGUGUACUUUGCAGGUACAGCAAAGGGAAGCCAAGUCCUGGACCUGAUUUCCUUAAAGCAGAUCAUCUUGACACUCUGUAUUAAGCACUACAAAAUAAUUAUGGUGGAAUCCCUUAAUCAGCAUUUUAUCAGCAGUGGAGUCUUGCUGCUGAGGGACUGAACUAACUGGAUACAUCCAUUUAUCAAUGAUAAUGCUUUUCCUUUUUUCCAGCCUGGAUUCCAUCCUGAGGACAUUUGUUUUAAUAGGGAAAAGAAUAUUAGACUCAUAAAUGUGAGUGCUGUGGUGCAGUGGGUGACUCCUCAAGAUUUAUCAAAGCAGGAUAAUUAGGAUGAACAAUAAGAGUGAGUUUCUUGGAAAUAACUUUUGUCACAGGACAACUCUGGUUUAUGCCACAUUAAUCCACCUUGAAGUAUGGGAAGUGCAAGAGGAGGAUUCACUUGGCCCCCUGGUCUGAGUCUCUGUGCUACAGUUUUGUUGAGGGCAAUGCCAGUGAAACUGUGAGAGUAGCUGAUGGUUGUGUUGACACCAUCAGUUAACUGUAAAAGCAAGUAGUCAGAAAGUGUUGGGGGUGUGGUGUAGUUUGCUUUUCAAACAGCUGUAGCUGCUGGAAUAGUUGGUUGUUUAUGGACACCAAGUUUCUGAAGGAAGGACUCGUAGUGGAAAUCAGAAAUGCCACAUUAUGCUUUGGAAAAGGUGGUGUCUGUGGGAAACUUGUGCACUUGUGCUUUCACAGACUUAGCCACAAUUUUUCUAACUGUGCUGACCACACUUAUGAUUAAACCCCCAAGAAUUAUCCUAGAACUUUGCCCUUUAUUCUUUUCCCUACUUCCAUUUACAUUCUUUUCCCUACUUCCUCCUUUACAUUUAGAUGUCACUCAGUCUGUCACAGAUGUUGCCAUUUGCUACAGGUCGGUUCCUCUGUGCAUUAUUCACGGAAUCCCAGAACAGUUUGGGUUGGAAGGGACCUUAAACCUCACCCAGUUCCACCCCCUGCCAUGGGCAGGGACACCUUCCACUAGCCCAGGUUGCUCCAAGCCCCGUCCAACCUGGCCUGGGACACUUCCAGGGGUGGGGCAGCCACAGCUUCUCUGGGCAACCUGUGCCAGGGCCUGUUACCAAUCUCUUUGAUAACUUUUUCUGUGCUUUGGGUCUGUUUGGAUUUCUUUUCUUUGUGAUUUUCCUCCUGUGAUCAAGAACCUCCUCAGCUGUACUCAGCAGUGUUAUGUAUUUAUCCCAUCACAGAAAUACUGUUUCUGAUUUUUCAAAGAUGGCCUGGAAGCAGUUUGGGCUCUGAAGCAGGGUUACUGUCUCAGAGUGUCUCAGUUUGCCUCUAUCCAGUGUUCCCUUCUCCUGCUACAACAAACCCAUGUUCUGUUUGACAAAAUACAGCCAUGUGGUUAAGAGUUAUUAAAAGCAUUAAAGCAUUAA